AAAAGACAUUCUGCAAAGGGAAAGUAAUUGAAAGACAUUUACAUCACAGCGGAUGGCUUCCGUGCAUUCCUGCCAUUCCAAGACAACACAUUCCUGGCAUAGGCUGCAACAAGCCUCCACAUGCACUAAUGAUGUACAGCAGAACAGGCAUUGUCAGAAAGAUUGGAAAUUUAUCUUUAGGGACAAGGAGGUACAGACAUGUUGAAAUCUAAAGCAGAAGAAAAGAGGAAAGCAUGGGGGAAAGGAAGAAAGGGGAAAGGAGAAGCUAUGAGGAACCUAUAUUUGAUAAAAGGAAGGGGAAGAGAUUGUUUAUAAGGAAAAAAUGCUAAGGAAAUCGAAAAUAUUGGACCCAGAAGAAAGUGGCAUUUGCUAGAUGGGAAUAUGAAUGGGAUAGAAGACUGAGAAGUCACCAUAGUCACCAUCCUCAGCACUCAAACAGCUGCUCUAGAAAGCUGCUUUCCAAGCCCACGGGGAUUAAGAAAAAAACAGAUGGACUUAAAUUGCAUGAAAAUUGUGAUCCAAGUUAGCCAUUAAGAAAAAUUCUCUAAUUAUAAUAUCUUUGAAUUACAUUACCACAGGAAUGAGAAUAUUUAUUUAAUGUUUACUCUCAACAAGAUUACAGAUUGAAAGAUUGCUGAAUGUCCAUUAAUGGCCUGUUUUCUGUGAUUCUAUGAUCAUUAUUAUGGAAUGUGAAAAUUAGACAGAGGUGUGGUGGGAAGGAACUGGGGGACAAGAGAAUGAGUUGUUCUUUGCUUACAGAAGAAACUUAAAUGAUAGUGUACUGCAGGAAUAAUGUAGGAGGAUGUUUGGACAAGGCAGAUGGGAGGAACAAGAAAACGUGAGCCAUGGAAAGUGAAGAAAAGUGUCAGGGUUGACAGAAGGCACGUGAGAGCAAAGGGAAUAAAUGAGCAAAGCCCACAAAUGCAGGGUUGAAAUGCAGGAAGGAAUACAGGUGGGAAGUGGGCUGGAAAGCCUUAGGCAGUCCUGCAAGAACAGCACACUGAAGCAACAGCAAAAACACCUUAGGAGACAAAGGCAUAAAGCAACAUCAAGGAAGCAUCAGGUGUUCAGCAACACCACAGGUGUCCAUCUUUGUCAUUUGCUCAGCUGAAGAUACUCAGUGGACUUUGAUACAAUUUUUAAAUUGUGGGAAUAAUUGAAGUUAUCAGGAAGCCUCCUUUUAAUAAUUAAAUAUUCAGGGAAACAUCUGUGUCCAAAAUCUGCAAAAAAACAGCAGCUUGCUGUUACAGCAGGCUGGCUUGAGUUCCACUGAAAAGAGAUAGUUAUGCAGACAUGGUAGCAGUGCAUUUUAUUAACUCCUUGUGUAAAAUUUCUCCAAGAAGAGUGCUUUAUACAAUGGGAGUUUCCUGCUCUUCAUAAAGAUGUGAUAAAGCAAACAAACAAGAGAUUUAACUGCUGCAUAAUCAUACUAGCUAUUUGAAAAGAACCUUAAUGCAAAUCUGCAGGUUUAUGUCUCCGAACAUCUCAGACUUCAGUGAUCUCAGACCACAGAAAUGUUGUUGGUAUUUACAGUGAUUCGCUGCUGUACCAAAUGUUGCAUAUGCUCCAUAGACUAUGGUGUUGUGAGUCACACAAAUUACGUAACAUUUGGAAAUACAUUCAGUCAUCUGCUUGCUACAGAAAUAUUGCUAACAGAUUCUUCACUCUCUUUUAUCUCUACAGUCUUUAUCACCCUUGUUAAAUGUUAUUUUCAUGCAGCUUCCUCAAGGGGAGAUGACUCAGUGAGAGAGUAAACUAUAAUGCUCCAUUGACACCAAUGGCCAUAUGUGCUGGUAAUCAGGUGCUGCCCUCCCCUCCUCCUUGGGUAGUUGCAUUGCUAGCAGUUGCAUUGGGGUUUAAUUGUAUCCGGAAUGCUGUUCCUUACUACAUGCUAGUGCAAAUGUCACCAGGAACAGGGUGAGAACUGAUUGUGCCAGUGAAAGGCACAAUCAGUAAUGCAGCCCUCCUUCCAAACAAAUAACAGUUCUCCAAAGCAUCAGCAUUGCCUCCUGACCACACACCUUUUGGCCUGCCUCCUGCCUGACCAUGCUGAGAGGAAAAAUGGGCUUUUCCCUAAAGGUGAACAAAUGUAGAGUCAAGGACAAAUUUUAGCCACAGACCCCUUCCAGUAAACCAGACUUCACUCAGUCUCUUCUGAUUACCUGAGUGCUAAUUAGUUUAUGCCAGGUCCUCAAAAGUCUGUGUGGGCACUUGCACACCUUUGAGGAUUCAUGGCUUCAUCCAAGUCCCACCUCCUCCAUGCAAGGUGGGGGUGGAAUGGCAGGGCGUUGGAGUUUGUUGGGGUUUUUGCAUACACACACAUGCAUGCACUUGUUGUCUGGUGUCCAUCCUUCUCAGGCAACAAAAAACAGCAGUUCUACUGUUUUCUGACAGUAAUUGGUCAUUUCUCCCCAUGAAGCAGCCUGAAGGCAGCAGAGACAUUUCAGAGAUUCAGCGUAGACAUGUGAACUUCAUCCUUUGCCCUGGAGACUGAGCACUUCUGUAGUCCAUUGCUGCCAAAUAGGCAUAAAAAUACAGGAUGCAUAGAGCAUAUGGACAGCUGUAAAGUUUACCGUUAAUGCUUCUGGCCACUUGUACAAACAUUUUUUAAAUUAUUUUAAGCAUCAGGGCAGGUUUUUUGGUUGCAUAAAUUUCAGGUCUUCAGUGAUUGGCAUAAAAAAUGUCAAUCACAGGCUUUGGCUGCCAGAAAUAGGGACUGCUAAGUGUUCAGAUAGGUGAGAUGUCAUCUUGUGAAGAAAAAAAAGCAGAAAGAAAAAUAUUUUCAAUUCACCUCAUGACUAGUAGCUAAUUGGCUGACAUUUCAAAACCCUGUGUUCACACAUCUCACAUUCUUCACACUAAAUGAGAGAGACUGGAAACACUGAAGAAAAUGUAUUUUCAGGCAUAGGAAGAAGCAUCACUUGAAUUCAUUUUGGAUGGAAAUGAAAAGUGCUUUUUGGUCAUAUUUAUGAGUGCAAGAACCUCAAAGCCCAUUUGUGUACAGCAGUAUUAUGUACACAGGGGCCAAACCUGCGUCUCAAGGCCGGCGAGACGGGCUGCACACAAACACCCUACUGAGGACACCCUCUGUGUGGGCACAAGGCUUCUUUCAGUUCACUCUGUGGACAGCAUUCCAGCUGCCAGCCAGCUGUAAGUGCAAGCUUUAGGGCAGGGGACUGGUGAUGUGACCUACAGCUGGGAAGCUGGAGCACCCUGGGCUGCGGCAGGGUGCCUCCACUUGCCCCAGCAGCCCUGGGUCUGGAGCACUGCCUGUGUCCUGGAGAGGGCAGUGGUGAAUGAUGAUGCCGACAGGAGACCUGCACACGUGCCUGGCUCCUACAGCCCCCCUGAGCUCGGUGUUUGCAGCGUGCCAUUAGUGGCUUGAAUGUCACAGUCAGAACCAGUUGUUGCAUCUAGGCACCUACAGGGUAUUUUCAGUAUUCCAGAUAUGCCUCUGUCAAAGCCCUCUUGAACUAUUGUGAAAAGACUGGUGGCAGAGUAAAAUAAAUUGGAAAGAGAGCAUAAAAAGUUGCCACUUGGAAGACAAAAACAGAAACAAGAGGCGCUUCCGUCCUUACAGUUCGUGCACGUGACUCAGGAAUAAGGCUGGCAGCCAAAACUGCCUGAUUGUGCCUAUCAAAUGUCCCUGUGUUGGGAGGGAAUGUCCUGAGGAGCUGGCUGGCCACUGACAUUUGGAAAAUGAAUGAAUUGUGCUUGCCAGGUGCUUGAGAACAACAUUUGGCAUGAAAUAGCUGGCAUGACAUGACUUUGCAGGCAGUGUUUUAUUUCCUAUUCUUCUAGACCUUCCCUUUUGUAUCAAGGGACUAAGCAGGAACCCAUUUCAGAGGGCAUCACAUAUUCCAAGGGGAUGGUUACAGAUAUAUUUGCAAUAUAAUAAUUUUGUUAAGAUAUUUAACUAGAGUAGGAUUGCAUUUGGGAUAAUAUCCCAAAUAAUAACAGCAGUGGAGACCUGAAAUGGAUCUGGAGUGCAUGCUGUGGAGACACUGGGAAAAUCUGGGAAAAGUCAAGGACAGAGAGAUGCUGCAUGUUGUUUCUCUUUGGCUUCACGUACACAGUUCUUGCAAGGAUUGUAUGACUUCAAAAUGAGUACCACCCACUGGAAAAGUUCAGGAGGAAGGAACAUUUCCAGGACAAUCUUCAGCUUCUUCUCAAUCAAGAUGAAACAAUGAAGUAAAAUUAAUCUUUCUUUUUUUUCUUUUUUUUACCACCGUUGUAAAAUAAAUCCUUAAUAAAUCUGCA